AGCUCCUCAGUUCUUAGAUAAAUAAAAAUUGUCAAAUACCAGCUGUUAUCCUUCUGUAAAAAAUGCCUCCUUGUUUGUCAAAGUCAAUAAUGAGAGACGUCUACACCAUUUAUCCACAAAAGAAUAAUGUUGUACCACAAUACAACCAAUGAAUGCCUCCUUGUUUAUCAAAAUCAAUGAGAGACGUCUACACCAUUUAUGCACAAA